rnacentral:rRNA from 2 species
GAGUUUGAUCCUGGCUCAGAGUGAACGCUGGCGGUAGGCCUAACACAUGCAAGUCGAACGGCAGCACAGCAGUAGCAAUACUGUGGGUGGCGAGUGGCGGACGGGUGAGGAAUACAUCGGAAUCUACUCUGUCGUGGGGGAUAACGUAGGGAAACUUACGCUAAUACCGCAUACGACCUACGGGUGAAAGUGGGGGACCGCAAGGCCUCACGCGAUUGAAUGAGCCGAUGUCGGAUUAGCUAGUUGGCGGGGUAAAGGCCCACCAAGGCGACGAUCCGUAGCUGGUCUGAGAGGAUGAUCAGCCACACUGGAACUGAGACACGGUCCAGACUCCUACGGGAGGCAGCAGUGGGGAAUAUUGGACAAUGGGGGCAACCCUGAUCCAGCAAUGCCGCGUGAGUGAUGAAGGCCUUAGGGUUGUAAAGC